AUAACAAGUUGGCGAUGACAAAGGCCCAUGUGGCCGAGUUUGAAAGAACUAUUCACUUAACUGACC
rnacentral:sRNA from 12 species